rnacentral:rRNA from 1 species
AUGUUGGGACGCAUGUUGAGAACGCUGACUGCAUUGAGUGGCACCUUGGAUCUGUUAACGACAGCAAUCCCAGAGGUGAUUUCUCUGUGGAUUACUAUUACGAUGGUGGGACUUGAUAUGGAGCAAUUUUUCCCAAUCAAUGCCAGUUUCACUUAUACCAACUGCCGCGCCUUAGAGAAUGGUCUGCAGGUUAAAAGAGCAAGGGGACCAGACGGCCUGCUGGACUUUGUGAAGAGCAAAGCUGGCCACGGGCGCUGCACCGUUCAUGAUUCCCGUGUGAUGCAACGCCGUGUUGCUGAGGCAAGACAGCGGGCCGCUGAGGCUGAAGCUUCUGCUUUAGCUUGGCAGGACCAACCAUGGGAUGAUGAAGGUGGAAAUGUCUGGGAGGUCUAUUGA